rnacentral:miRNA from 1 species
UGGCUAAGGAUUUAGGGAAGG